UAACCCCCUCCAUCCCCUACACCCCUCCCUGUCUCUGUCACCCACUCCAUCUCCUACACCCCUCCCUGUCUCUGUAACCCCCUCCAUCCCCUACACCUCUCCCAGUCUCUGUAACCCCCUCCAUCCCCUACACCCCUCCCUGUCUCUGUAACCCCCUCCGACCCCUACACCCCUCCCUGUCUCUGUAACCCCCUCCAACCCCUACACCUCUCCCAGUCUCUGUAACCCCCUCCAUCCCUUACACCCCUCCCUGUCUCUGUAACCUCCUCCAUCCCCUACACCCCUCCCUGUCUCUGUAAACCUCUCUCCAGGCCCUUACACCCCUCCCUGUCUCUGUAACCCCCUCCAUCCCCUACACCCCUCCCUGUCUCUGUAACCCACUCCAUCCCUACACCCCUCCCACUCUGUAACCUCCUCCAUCCCCUACACCCCUCCCUGUCUCUGUAAACCCCUCCAUCCCCUACACCCCUCCCACUCUGUAACCUCCUCCAUCCCCUACACCCCUCCCUAUCUCUGUAAACCCCUCCAUCCCCUACACCCCUCCCUGUCUCUGUAACCCCCUCCAUCCCCUACACCCCUCCCUGUCUCUGUAAACCCCUCCAUCCCCUACACCCCUCCCACUCUGUAACCUCCUCCAUCCCCUACACCCUCCCUAUCUCUGUAAACCCCUCCAUCCCCUACACCCCUCUCUGUCUCUGUAACCUCCUCCAUCCCCUACACCCCUCCCUGUCUCUGUAAACCCCUCCAUCCCCUACACCCCUCCCUGUCUCUGUAACCUCCUCCAUCUCCUACACUCCUCCCUGUCUCUGUAACCCCCUCCAUCCCCUACACCCCUCCCUGUCUCUGUAAACCCCUCCAUCCCCUACACCCCUCCCUGUCUCUGUAAUCCCCUACACCCCUCCCUGUCUCUGUAACCCCCUCCAUCCCCUACACCCCUCCCUGUCUCUGUAAACCCCUCCAUCCCCUACACCCCUCCCUGUCUCUGUACCCCCUCCAUCCCCUACACCCCUCCCUGUCUCUGUAAUCCCCUCCAUCCCCUACACCCCUCCCUGUCUCUGUAACCUCCUCCAUCUCCUACACCCCUCCCUGUCUCUGUAACCCCCUCCAUCCCCUACACCCCUCCCUAUCUCUGUAAACCCC